GUCGAGCGGGACAUCACUUGUAGCAAUACAGGUGAUGUUUAGCGGCGCAAGGGUGCGUAACACGUGGGCAAUUUGCCAUGAAGCUGGGGAUAACUCCGGGAAACCGGAGCUAAUACCGAAUGUGAACAUUUUUGGGCAUCCAGAGAUGUUUAAAGCUGGGGACCGUAAGGCCUGGCACUUCAUGAUGAGCCCGCGGCCUAUCAGCUAGUUGGCGGGGUAACGGCCCACCAAGGCUAAGACGGGUAGCUGGUCUGAGAGGACGACCAGCCACACUGGAACUGAGACACGGUCCAGACACCUACGGGUGGCAGCAGUCGAGAAUUUUUCACAAUGGGCGCAAGCCUGAUGGAGCGACGCCGCGUGGGGGAUGAAGGGCUUCGGCUCGUAAACCCCUGUCAGUUGCGAACAAAGUGUACUCAAUAACACUGGGUGCGCUGAUAGUAGUGACAGAGGAAGGGACGGCUAACUCUGUGCCAGCAGCCGCGGUAAUACAGAGGUCCCGAGCGUUGUUCGGAUUCACUGGGCGUAAAGGGUGCGUAGGUGGCUUUGCAAGUCUGAUGUGAAAUCUCCAGGCCCAACCUGGAAACUGCAUUAGAAACUGUGAGGCUGGAGGCUUGGAGGGGGAACUGGAAUGCUCGGUGUAGCAGUGAAAUGCGUAGAGAUCGAGCGGAACACCAGUGGCGAAGGCGAGUUCCUGGACAAGUCCUGACACUGAGGCACGAAAGCCAGGGGAGCAAACAGGAUUAGAUACCCUGGUAGUCCUGGCUGUAAACGGUGCACGUUUGCUGUGAGAGGAAUCGACCCCUUUCGUGGCGGAGCUAACGCGAUAAACGU
rnacentral:rRNA from 1 species